ensembl:lncRNA
AUGGGGGGACCCUAUGGGGACGUAGAGGUGGGGGGAUCCUAUGGGGAUGCAGGGACAUGGGGGCCCUAUGGGGACAGGGGGACGUGGGGACCCCCUAGGGGGACCCCCUAGGGACAUGGGGGUGGGGGGAACCUAUGGGGACAUGGGGACCCUAUGGGGAUGCAGGGAAAUGGGGAUGCUAUGGGGACAGGGGGAUGUGGGGACCCCCAAGGGGACCCCCUAGGGACACAGGGAUGGGGGGAACCUAUGGCGACAUGGGGACCCUAUGAGGAUGCAGGGACACUGUGGUGGGGGCAUCCUAUGGGGAUGCAGGGAAAUGGGGACGCUAUGGGGACAGGGGGGACAUGGAGACCCUAUGGGGAUGCAGAGGUUGGGGGAUCCUAUGGGGAUGCAGGGACAUGGGGAUGCUAUGGGGACAGGGGGGACAUGGGGACCCUAUGGGGAUGGAGGCAUGGGGGGACCCUAUGGGGAUGUAGAGGUGGGGGGAUCUUGUGGGGAUGCAGGGACAUGGGGACCCUAUGGGGACAGGGGGACGUGGGGACCCUAGAGGGACCCCCUAGGGACAUGGGGGUGGGGGGACCCUAUGGGGACAUGGGGACCCUAUGGGGAUGCAGGGACAUGGGGACCCCAUAGGGAAAUGGGGAUGUGGGGACCCUAUGGGGACAUGGGGACCCCAUAGGGACGCAGGGGUUGGGGGGCCCUAUGGGGACAUGGGGACUCUAUGGGGAUGCGGGGACAUGGGGACCCCACAGGGACAUGGGGACCCCAGGUCUUGGGGACAUGAUGACCCCACACAUCCCCCUGCCCCCCAGGAGCAUGUAGUGCAGGAGCAGACCCAGCGCUAUGGGGCAGAGCCGCACGACCCAGCAAAGGACCAGAGCCAGCGCUAUGGGGCAGAGCUGCAAGAGCCAGUGAAGGACCAGCCCCAGCCCGAUGGGACCAUGCAGGACCAGAGCCAGCGCUAUGGGGCAGAGCUGCAGGACCCAAUGCAGGACCAGCCCCAGCCCUAUGGGACCAUGCAGGACCAGAGGCAGCGCUAUGGGGCAGAGCUGCAGGACUCGGUGCAGGCCAAAGCCGGGCGCUAUGGGGCAGCACUGCGUGCCGAAGCCGGGCGCUAUGGGGACGUGGUGCAGGACCAGAGCCAGCGCUAUGGGGCAGAGCUGCAGGAC